rnacentral:tRNA from 1 species
GACCUCUUAGUUCAGUGGUAGAACGUGAGAUUCCAGCGAUCAGUGUCCGGUUUAAACGGUGCUGCUUCCAUAACCUCAAGGUCGUCCGUUCAAUCCGGGCAGAGGUCA